UAGGGUAUAGCUCAGUGGCAGGGCGCAUGCUUUGCAUGCACGAGGUCCUGGGUUCAAUCCCCAGUUAAAUAA
rnacentral:tRNA from 1 species